AAAUAGACUCUCCUUCCUCACGGUCUCUGCCUCACCUUCCUCCCCGCCCCACAGCCGAGCUCCCGUUCCCUUCAUCCAGCGCCGCCCCUUUCCCCCGUUUCUUCUCAGCCUGGGCUGGGACGCAUCGCCGGAAACCCACGCGCGGUCAUCUUCCCCAUCAGCCUGCGCGCCGUGGCUAUGCUCCCCACGCGUCGCCUGCCCCGACGGCCCGAGGGUCCUCACGCCGUCUCGGCUGGAGUGUGCCAAGAGAUGACGGUCAAUCUUUGAUUGCACGCCGCGGCGGCUCGCCAUGGGACUCACGGCAUGGUCGCCGGCGCUCUGCACCUUCCACCGGUGUCUCUUGCACGUGCCUAGAUCACUCCCUGCUACAGCCGGUGGACCUCCACAUGUCGGACGAGGACGAUGGCACUGACGACCCGUGGCCAGUCCCGUGAGACCAUGCCCCUCCCACCUCUUUCGGUGGCUUUCUGCUGCCCCUAGAGCUCAAUGUGGGGGGACUCGCCAUGGAUCGAGCAUCGUUCUGGACGUGGCUGCCCACUGCUCUGCAAGUCGACUGUUCCAACGCCCAGCAUGUGUUCGACGUAAUGUUUGGACGGCUGUAGGUAAAAGAAAAUCAGUUCUAUCCAGAAACUGUGUCAAAGGUUAUAUGCGUGUUCCAUCCCGAGCACAAUUCUUCUUCUUUACAUGUUCCUUUUGUGAUAUAUCUGCUUAUGCAAUGAGGCUCAGCCUGCUACUGAUGAUUGCAGCUUGGAAAUAUGUUGAAAGAGAAACUUUACUGUCAGGAAGCCCUUCAUAUAGGAAAUAAAGUAGGAUGCAGUGUAAAAUGGACCCUGCCUUAACCCUUGAUUGGUAUAAACUUCAUGGAUGAGGCAAUUGAGCUCUACACAACAAGGCAACAAGCAUAUUUAAUACAUCAAGGUUGUUAGGCACAAUUGUUCAUGUAUGUAGAACCAUCUGUUAAACUUACUAUGACUUCCUUUUCAGGAUGCUCCAUGGAAUCUUCGAACAGAUAAAUGGAUAAAGCAAAAGAAAGUCCAUACGGGGCUCUGUGAGGCCUGCUGCUUCCGGUCGUCCUCCCCAAGAGUGUCAGGAGAAGCGGCUACUACAGAACUCAUCGCACUCUCGAGCCAUGCAUGCAUCUUAUUCUGAGGCAAAUUUAGCAUGCAUGUCAGUUAAUUGUUCCAUUAAUGUGUUUGCAGGACAGAGAUGGGAGGCUCUUCUACAAUCUCAUGAUUGACAUCGAGGAGCUGCAUAUCCUUAUUUAUAGAGAUAAUAGAAGUUUGUGAGAAAUUAAGUGUGCUCUACAUCUAAUUUCAGAGGAAGCACAUGUACUGCAGUAGCAUGCAAGUGGGUUCCUGCCAUUGUACAUAGCACGUUCCAGCUGUUGCAUAUCCUUACUUUCAGAGACAGUUAAUAGUUUCUGAGAAAUAUAUAUUUCAUAGCAAUAGCUAUGAGAGAUCAUUAGAGCAGUAGUUCUAUCUACUACCACAUGUAUUUUCCGUUGAUUGUACAAGUUCACAUGUACAUCUCUGAAUAAAGAAGAACCCUAUUACUGAAGUUAUAGAACAGAGGUGGUGUUGCUCUAUAUGUACAGGCUAUUAUUUGCAUGCUUUGCUGAAUAAGUGCAGUUUAGAAUGAGUUGAAAUCUAAGAGCAGACAGUUGCAUAUUCGACUUCCGUUGUGCAGUACCAUUUCUUGCAAAAUACUUCCAAUUAGAAUAGUUGCCGUUGGUAAUCAGUUUUUCCUACUCCAGUUCUUGGAUGUGCUAUCCUCCCUUCUCACUCUCGGGCUCUAGCAGCAAAUGGACCGCAAGCAUCAUGAAGCAGCUCAGCUCCGUUGCCUCCAGUGGCGGCAAGGUUACACACACGCCUAGGGCGACUCGGGGGCGCCUCCCUAACCCUAGCGCGCCGCCACCCAAUCGCCCCCAGCCCCGCGCCGCCGCCGGAGGAAGCCGCCGGGCGAAGCUCGUGAGGCUGACGGCGGCGGCGGGGCGACUCCUCGCGGCUCCCGUUGGGACUGGGGCGGCGGAUCUCGGCGGGAACCGGCGGCGGCCCGGGCGUGCGCGGCCCAUGGCGUCCGGCGGCGUGGUGGCGGGUCUCGGCGAGGGGUUGUAGGUGGUGGCGGAGGGGUCGGCCGUUCCCGUGUGAUGUACUGCUGCCUGCGAUGGCGCAUGGCGCACGGCAGUACUCUGCGUUCCUUGGACGAGCGCGUCCUUGGGAGCAGGAGGGGGUCGGCCUGACGAGCUCCGGUGGGCGUGGCGUGCUCGUGGCAGCGGCAAUCCGGCGCUCCGGGUGGUGUCUCCUUCGAGCGGCGCGAGGUGGACAGCGGGCAUGUGGUGGCGGUGCUGAUCUUGGAUCUGGCGAGGCACCACGGCCCGGUGCUAGGCGAUCCGUGCACACGAUGCUUGAUGGAGGCUCUUCGAACAGAUCUGGGUGAAAACCUGCCUUUGGCUAGCUGCCAAGGCCGGCGGUGACGGCGCUGUUAUGCGGCGUUCCCUUCUUGAAGGCAUCGCCGAGGAGAAGUUCAAAGCCACUAUCUGCUAUCUCCGGGGGAAACCCUAGAUCAGUAGAUCGGAUGACGGCGGCGCUAUUUUGUGUCGUUUCCUCUCGGGGGCGUCAGUCUUGGAGGUGUUCACGGGAUCGAGGGACCAAUGGGAGGCUUCUUUGGUUGAGCGGUGCUUCAUCUUAAACAUUGAUGGCAGCAGGUCUCGGCGGCGUGGUGCAGUGGAGACUUGGCGCCCGAUGCGCGGAGAUGGACUCGCGCAGGAGGAGGUAGCUGUCCGGCGUCAUGGUGACGUCGAUGGCGGAGCGGCCUACACAAGGUAGAAGACUCAAUAUAUUCUGAAGACGGACCUGUGGAAGAUGGCUGCGAUGACACAAGAGUGUGUCUGACCGGAUUGUGCCCCAGACCCGGUAUGUGGCUCGGCUGGGGCUUCCGGCUUUUGAUGUUAGGUUUAGGUGAGUGGUUUGGGUAGUGGCCCAACUAGCAUCCCUUCAUCAUAUUUUGCCGAGAUGGUGGAUUCAGGAAUAUUGUCUGUAAUACUUUGUGAGGUCCUCGAGAAUAAUUAAUAAAGUGGCCGUAUGCAUCUCCCAGAUGCAGAGGCCGGGGGUCAUCCUCCAUUUC